GUGACAAUGAUUUUGCAAAGGAAAUUGUAGCCUAUAUGCUGUGUGUUGGUUUUUCUUUUUUUCCUUAUUGUCAUUGCAUUCCAUUUGGAACUUCUGAAGCUUAAGAUAUUGAACACAAGAUUCUCUGCCAGCAUUUCAUGGAGCCAAUCUUAAUAUAUAAGUAUGAAAGCCUAUGAAAGGAAAAGCGAUUGGUUUCUAAACAAAACUAGCAUUUGGAG
rnacentral:misc_RNA from 1 species